CGGAGAACCUGCGGUUAGGUGCUGCAUGGCUGUCGUCAGCUCGUGUCGUGAGAUGUUGGGUUAAGUCCCGCAACGAGCGCAACCCCCUAUCGUUAGUUGCCAUCAUUCAGUUGGGCACUCUAACGAGACCGCCGACUUAAAUCGGAGGAAGGUGGGGACGACGUCAAGUCAUCAUGGCCCUUAUGUCCAGGGCUACACACGUGCUACAAUGGUCGGUACAAAGCGUCGCAAGCUCGCGAGGGUAAGCCAAUCGCAAAAAACCGGCCUCAGUACAGAUAAGAGUCUGCAACUCGACUCUUUGAAGUUGGAAUCGCUAGUAAUCGCUGAUCAGCAGGCAGCGGUGAAUACGUUCCCGGGCCUUGUACACACCGCCCGUCACACCAUGGGAGUCGUUUUGCUCCAGAAGUGCCUGAGCCAACCGCAAGGAGGCAGGGCCCCAAGGAGUGACCGGUAACUGGGGUG
rnacentral:rRNA from 1 species